AGCGAACGCUGGCGGCAGGCUUAACACAUGCAAGUCGAACGCCCGGGCAACCGGGAGUGGCAGACGGGUGAGUAACGCGUGGGAACAUACCCUUUGGUUCGGAAUAACUCAGGGAAACUUGAGCUAAUACCGGAUAAGCCCUUAUGGGGAAAGAUUUAUCGCCGAAGGAUUGGCCCGCGUCCGAUUAGCUAGUUGGCGAGGUAACGGCUCACCAAGGCGACGAUCGGUAGCUGGUCUGAGAGGAGGAUCAGCCACACUGGGACUGAGACACGGCCCAGACUCCUACGGGAGGCAGCAGUGGGGAAUAUUGGACAAUGGGGGCAACCCUGAUCCAGCCAUGCCGCGUGAGUGAUGAAGGCCCUAGGGUUGUAAAGCUCUUUCGGCGGGGACGAUAAUGACGGUACCCGCAGAAGAAGCCCCGGCUAACUUCGUGCCAGCAGCCGCAGUAA
rnacentral:rRNA from 1 species